UGUUCAUGUUUUUCAAUGUUUUAUUCAAAUAAUAUAAAAAAUAAAAUAUAUAUUGACAUGGAUUAAACAAAGAUAUAUAUUAUUCUAUGUUGUAUAAACAAAUUGGCAAAAUAGAGAUGGAAGAUAAAAAUAUGGUCAAAGUAAUAAGAGUCUAUGGUGAAUGCCUAGGAGCUUUAAGGCGAAGAAGGUCGUGGUAAGCUGCGAAAAGCUUGGGGGAGAAGCAAACAUUUAUUGAUCCCAAGAUUACCGAAUGGAGUAAUCCAGCUAGCAAGAUGCUAGCUAUCUAUUAUUUAAAUAAUAGAGGCGAUACCAGGGGAAGUG
rnacentral:misc_RNA from 1 species